rnacentral:tRNA from 1 species
GAAUCCAUAGCUCAAUUGGCAGAGCAUGACUCUCUUAAAGUCGAGGUUUCGAGUUCGACUCUCGAUGGAUUCA